rnacentral:rRNA from 1 species
AUUGAACGCUGGCGGCAUGCUUUACACAUGCAAGUCGAACGGUAACAGGCCGCAAGGUGCUGACGAGUGGCGAACGGGUGAGUAAUGCAUCGGAACGUGCCCAGUCGUGGGGGAUAACUGCUCGAAAGAGCAGCUAAUACCGCAUACGAUCUAUGGAUGAAAGCGGGGGACCGUAAGGCCUCGUGCGAUUGGAGCGGCCGAUGUCAGAUUAGGUAGUUGGUGGGGUAAAGGCUCACCAAGCCAACGAUCUGUAGCUGGUCUGAGAGGACGACCAGCCACACUGGGACUGAGACACGGCCCAGACUCCUACGGGAGGCAGCAGUGGGGAAUUUUGGACAAUGGGGGCAACCCUGAUCCAGCAAUGCCGCGUGCAGGAAGAAGGCCUUCGGGUUGUAAACUGCUUUUGUACGGAACGAAACGGUCUGGGUUAAUACCCUGGGCUAAUGACGGUACCGUAAGAAUAAGCACCGGCUAACUACGUGCCAGCCGCCGCCGUAACAC